CUAAAAAGCUGUCAAAAAUUGAAAAAUAGCCAGUCAGAUCGAAAACGGGAGGGUCAUGCUUUUCUGAUUCUGAAUUUUAAAGAAAGACUUUUUGUCAGGUAACACCACUCUAAACCAGCCAGACACACUGUUGCUUCACUAUUUCGUCAACUUACUCAUGUUUUCUCACCAUAUUAUCAUUCUAAUUAUGGUCUUGACAUGUCGGGCGGGCUUCGCCAAACUACUGCAGAGAAUAAAGAAACUUCAGAUCUCGAGUACAUUUACAAACGUGAGCACUUGAAAGCUGAUCACAACCGACUGUAGAAUAUCAAGGGUGUGAAGAGAGGCAGGGAGCGUCUGCGGCUGCUGAGCCAUUGCUUGGUCACACACGUUGAAAUAAUUCCUCUCACUCUGAAAGGUUGUGGCACGAAGAAGAUCAUGUAUUGCUAGUUCAUCAGAUAAAGAAAUGUGCCCAAAAUACGUGGCUCAUGCAAGAUAAAAAGUGACCGAUCAUUUUUGUUUUGACAUUAUCAGGAAUCUGCACAAAUGUGCCUGCAACUUUCAGAUUAAAACAAAGUUUUGCCUGAUUAAAAAAAAGAUUAAAGCCGUUAUGUUAGGAACCUUUUUUUUUUUUUUUUAGAGUGGCAAUAAUGAACUGUGUUGUUUCUACAAGUUGUCAAGACAUAGUAGCAUUAGCCUAGGACAAGCUUACAAAAAGAAAAACAGAGUGCAUAGCGCUAAUGGAAGCUGCAGCUCCAUUUAUGACUUUUCCUGAGAUUCAGACAUAGUUAAAAAAAAAACAGAAUGACUACAGGAAGAGAGACAGAAAAAAAA